rnacentral:rRNA from 2 species
UACGUAGGGGACAAGCGUUGUCCGGAAUCACUGGGCGUAAAGGGCGCGCAGGCGGUGAUUUAAGCAGGAUGUGAAAGGCUACGGCUCAACCGUAGACAUGCACCCUGAACUGGGUCACUUGAGUAUUGGAGAGGCAGGCAGAAUUCCUGGUGUAGCGGUGAAAUGCGUAGAUAUCAGGAGGAAUACCGGAGGCGAAGGCGGCCUGCUGGACAAAUACUGACGCUGAGGCGCGAAAGCGUGGGGAGCAAACAGG